rnacentral:tRNA from 1 species
GCAGAAGUAGUUCAGCGGUAGAAUACAACGUUGCCAAGGUUGGGGUCGCGGGUUCGAAUCCCGUCUUCUGCUCCA